AGGACAAACGCUGGCGGCGUGCAUAACACAUGCAAGUCGAACGAGCCUAGCGAUAGGCGAGUGGCGGACGGGUGAGGAACACGUGGAUGACCGACCUUUUACUGGGGAAUACCCGUGGGAAACCACGGCUAAAUACCGCAUACGUUCUGCAAAGAAGAAAGCCUUCGGGCGGUAAGAGACGGGUCUGCGGUCGAUUAGCUAGUUGGUGCGGUAACGGCGUACCAAGGCGACGACCGAUAGCUGGUCUGAGAGGAUGAUCAGCCACAUUGGGAUUGAGAACGGCCCAAAUCCCUACGGGGAGCAGCAGUGAGGAAUAUUCGGCAAUGGCGCAAGCCUGACCGAGCGACGCCGCGUGGGGGAUGACGCAUUUCGGAUUGUAAAGCACUUUCGACGGGGACGAGUGACGACGGUACCCGUAUAAGAACGCCCGGCUAACUUCGUGCCAGCAGCCGC
rnacentral:rRNA from 1 species